AUUGAACGCUGGCGGCAUGCCUAACACAUGCAAGUCGAACGGCAGCACGGCAGUAGCAAUACUGUGGGUGGCGAGUGGCGGACGGGUGAGGAAUACGUCGGAAUCUGCCCAGUCGUGGGGGAUAACUAGCCGAAAGGUUAGCUAAUACCGCAUACGACCGAGAGGUGAAAGCGGGGGACCGCAAGGCCUCGCGCGAUUGGAUGAGCCGACGUCGGAUUAGCUAGUUGGAGGGGUAAAGGCCCACCAAGGCGACGAUCCGUAGCUGGUCUGAGAGGAUGAUCAGCCACACUGGAACUGAGACACGGUCCAGACUCCUACGGGAGGCAGCAGUGGGGAAUAUUGGACAAUGGGCGCAAGCCUGAUCCAGCAAUGCCGCGUGUGUGAAGAAGGCCUUCGGUU
rnacentral:rRNA from 1 species